UCCCUGGAAGCUUAGAUGGUAAAGAAUCUACCUGCAAUGGAGCAGACCCAGGUUCGAUCCCUGGGUAGGGAA
rnacentral:tRNA from 1 species